CACUUUCAUUUCCCUGGCCCGAUUUUUCCCUUCUUCUCUUCAGGAAAUUUGAGGGACCUCUAGGGUUUUGCCUCCAUGGCUAUUUCACGGCAAUUUUUGGCUGGAUUUUUUGAGGGCUUUUACCCUCCGUCUCACCUUAUCGUCAUUCCAGGUUUAAUUUCGUGAUUUAGUAAGCAGUUAUGUUCGAAUUGGAUCGAUUUAAUGGGAUGUUGCUCGGAUUCUUUGAGUACGAGGUUGCCAUGGGUGGAACCAAGAGUUCCUAGCCAACUUGUGCGCCUCGUACUAUGAACAAGGAACCUAGGGAAAUUUCCCAAAACAAUAUUGAGUAAUUCGGGUACUAUUUUAGGAUUUCUGUCUCAUUUGUACAAUGUAUACGUUGGAUGUACUGGUUCCUUUGUCUUAUUUGUGACUAUGCGUACUAUCCUAGUAUUUGGCUGAUUUAUCUGAUUUUAUUUGAAUUUUAGGGAUAAAAUUGGUUAUAUUUUGUGAUAUGUGUUGUUCUAUGAUUGGGGGAUAGUACAAUUUGUGAGCUAGUUGAGAAAAUUUGCUGAGUUGUCAUAGAAAUUUGAAUUUUUUUUCGAAAAUAGGGAGAAAAUCUGCUGAGGGGAGGACACCUAGAAAUUUCUAUUUUUGUUCCCACUUAUUGUCCUACAAAUAGUUAGUAUUCAUGAAAGAGAGGGGAUUCUGAAUUUUUUUUGUUACUUCACAGCUAAGGGAAAUAAUCCCUAAGUUUCUUCAUUGGCUACACAUACACAUCAAUAUAUAUAUAUAUACACACACACUACCCCUUAAAAUACCUAUAAAGAGUAUAGAACUUAAUAUACACUAUAGUGAUGGUAAUAUACUAAAGAUCAAUAGAAAGAUUACUAUUUUCGAAGAACCUAAGGGUUUAAAAGUUGUUUAAGGGUGCCUUGGUUGUUGGUGUUUGAAGUUUGGAGAUUCAAUCCCCAUUUUGAUCCUUAGGUUGCCCUACAAAAAGACCUCUACUGGAAUGAAAGCUGUAGAAGGGACGGGACAGGGCCCCGUCAUACCCAUAUGUAUAUAUAUCCAAAAAGGCUAGCAUACCAAAAUAAACUGCUACACCGGAUCAAUGGAGCGCACCAACCACUGCUGGAUAGAGUCCUACUAAGCUGGACCACCUGUCGGUCUACCUAAACCUGCAGGCAUAAACGCAGACCCCCCGAGCAACGGGGAGUAAGUACGAAUAAUGUACUGAGUAUGAAAGGCAUAAGAACAAUCAUGUACAUAUAGGAAUCAUGAAUAGGAUCUGAACUCAUCAGCUGAAAUAACUGUCUGCAUAUAUUUGUAUGAACUAGUAUCUAUAUGUAUUUGCAUAAACCUGUA